rnacentral:misc_RNA from 1 species
ACAGACAUCCAGAAUUCCGAUCUUGUAGCAUUCACCUCGGGCAGCAGCGCAACAGAAGAACAAAAUGUCCAAGCUUUCCAAAGAAGAGAUUGAAGAGGCCAAGGAAGUGUUCGAACUUUUUGACUUCUGGGACGGUCGUGACGCAGAAGUCGACGCCUCAAAGAUUGGUGAUGUCAUCAGAUGUGUAGGACUCAACCCAACUCUUGAAAUCGCCAAUCCAUGAGACAAUCAUGAACACCUUGGAACAAGGAACAUUCGCCGACUACAUGGAGGCAUUUAAGACUUUCGACAGGGAGGGCCAAGGCUACAUCUCCGGGGCUGAGCUUAGACAUCUUCUCUCCUCACUUGGUGAACGAUUGACUGAUGACCAGGUGGAUGAAAUCAUCAGAAACACUGACCUUCAAGAAGAUUUGGAGGGCAACGUCAAGUACGAAGAGUUCAUCAAGAAGGUGAUGGCCGGACCAUACCCCGACUAAACUAUUUGAUGGAAUCUACGAACACGACACACAUUGACAAGAACACAUCACACAAACUUAUGUAAAAAAAAUCUCCGUCUACAAAAUAAAAAAAAAUCCACAUUUGCAACAGUGUACAUUUACAUGUGAAAGUUACACGUCUCAUUAAACAACGUCACGUGAUGACGAGGUUCCACGUCUUGCUGCUGCAGUUUAGCGACAUUUUGAAGAAAAACACCACCAUCUUGUUCUUUCUAAUUUUCGAACAUGCGCACUUGUUCAACACUGGAUUACCACCUGGAAUGCUAUGAUUAAAACAAAGAAAUAACAAUAUUGCGUGGGGCCUCUUCGUUAUGAGUGACUUUGCCGUGUUUACUUGUAAUAUUAAUGUUUACGACACAUCAAGUUCAGUCUUAACCGGUACCGGUUGAUUGCUUCAUCAAAACCUGGUAGUGACAUCAUUGGGUCUCAUGACCCGUUAUGUACAGUUAUGCUCGAAAGUUGGUAUAAAUGAGAUGAGGUCGGAAUGGAUAUCCCUUUUGCAUCCUCUGCAGAGUGUAUAGUGCAGUAUUUAUUAUUUUUCCCAAUAAAGCUGUUUUUAUCUUU